GCAGUGAUAGUUUAGUGGUAGAAUUCUCACCUUUCGUGUAAGAGACCCAGGUUCAAUUCCUAGCCAGUGCA
rnacentral:tRNA from 1 species